UACGAAGGGGGCUAGCGUUGCUCGGAAUCACUGGGCGUAAAGGGUGCGUAGGCGGGUUCUUAAGUCAGAGGUGAAAUCCUGGAGCUCAACUCCAGAACUGCCUUUGAUACUGAGAGUCUUGAGUACGGGAGAGGUGAGUGGAACUGCGAGUGUAGAGGUGAAAUUCGUAGAUAUUCGCAAGAACACCAGUGGCGAAGGCGGCUCACUGGCCCGAUACUGACGCUGAGGCACGAAAGCGUGGGGAGCAAACAGGG
rnacentral:rRNA from 1 species